GCACAAACCGCUCUGCGCACGUGUGCAGAUGCAGCACUUUGCCCUGUGUCCUUCUCAGCUAGUGGCCGGGGCUCCAGAACAGAUCCCAGUCAUGAAACAAGGUAUGACUGUACUCUGCUGAUCAUAAUUACGGGUUGGGUCCUAAGGUGCAUUUCUACAUGCAGGACAUAGUUAACCUAUGAAACUCACUCCUAUAGGAGGCAGUGAUGGCCACCAACCUAGAUGGCUUUCCAUGAGGAGUAGACCAAUUUAUGGAAGGACUAUUGAAGGCUACUGGCCAUGAUGACUCUGCUCUGCUCUCACUGCUGAAGGCAAUGCUUCUGAAUUCCAGUUGCUGGAAACUCUGGAGGGGAGAGUGCUCUUGUGCUCAAAUCCUGCUUGCUGGUUUCCAAAAGGCAACCACUGUGAGAACAGCAUGCUGUACUGAAUGGUCCAUUGGCCUGAUCCAGCAGGCUCUUCUUAUGUUAUUAUAAGAACACCCCUCUUUUAUAGGUAGAAGCACAAAAACUACUAUAGGACCUACAUACCAAUUCACAAAGUAUUCUGCAUGCUGCUGUGGAACAUAACUUGUAGAUAUUUUCUAUCUAGCUCAUGGUUCUUUGGAUCCAACCAUACAAUUGAAAGAGUAUCUUCUUAAACCAUGUGUGUACAACCUCCUUGCCUCUGCACACAUGAUGAAAAAGAAAUGAUGUUCCUGUUAAUGUAAUUAUGAUCAAUAAGCACUUGCAUAAAUAGUUGCCUCACUUUGUUAUAGGGUGGAAAUGGAUACUAAACUUUUUGCAUAUAGCUACUUCAGCGGUAACAGGUGAAAUGGCCUCAAGUACCUUUUCCAUCCUUGCAAUUACCUUUAAUUGGAGACGUGAAUAAAAAUGAGUGCUGCAGUGAAAAGAGUAAGUAUAUUUUUCCAAAGAAAUAUUCUCCAGGGCACAUAGUAUGAAUGCUAAUUAUCUGACAGAACAUGAACUCUUUUCUCAGGGAAAAAGAAGGCUUAGCCACAAAAAGAAGGUGGUAUAAUUAUAUCAGCUGUUUGGGGGUGGGUGAUUUUUGUCCUGCAAUUCCCCCCCCCAGAAAGUACUAGACAUUAAGCCCAAAAAAGGUUUUAGGGAGUUAUGUAGAAUACCAACACAUAGUAAUGUUUGGGUGAAGUCAUAUGCAGCUCUGUUAUUGAUAGAGGAUGUAUCUUUUAUAGUAAUUUAUGAACUCACCCACACCAUCCUUACACUAACUGGAAAUGAGCUGAUCUAUUUAUAAUUAUUGUUAUUAUUUUAGCAACCUCUAUCCAGUUUAAUGCUAUAGAAAUAAACCUGAAAGUAGCUUACAUGAAAAAUUUCAUACCGUACAUAAAACACAUCCACUAUAAUACAAAAAUCAAAACUAUUAGUAGUAGAUUCAAAAAAUCAAUCACAGGACUGCAGCACUAAACCAAACUUCUUUUUUAAUAGCCAUGUGUUGGCUUGACAACAAUAAAACAAUAAAAUGUCAGGACCUGGGAAGUCUCUCUAGGAUGACAUUCCACGGAGUAGGCACCACUACUAAAAAGGCCCUGUACCUUGCAGUAAGGCCUCAGAUGUUGAACAGAGUAUAGAAGAAAAGUGGUUCUUUGAAUACCCAGGUCCCAAGUUGUUUAGGACUUUAAAAAUCAAAACAAGCAAAGGUUUUUUUAAAAGGUAAAAUGCAAACCAGUUAUUUUCUGAGCUAAUCCAAUGAUCUUUGGAAAUGAACUCCUUCCUAUCAGCUGUGGGAGUGUUCUCAACUCUUCUCUUUACUUAGCUGCAAAUGGAGAAGGUAGCAAUAUCAGCAGGAACUUUCUCCACAGUAGGCUCUGGACCUCAGCCAAGAAAGAGCUCUGCAACUCUGAAAAGAUAUCCAU